CCGUUAACAUUACAUUACGUUGAUACCUUCUUGUAAGCUAGCAUGUAAAAAAAUUCAAAUUUUCAAGACUCCAACUAUUAGUUAACAUGGUAAAAUUCACUUAGAAAAAUAUAACAAGAACCAACCCUUCUUCAAAAUUAAAGCAUAACCACAAUCAAUACUAAAGCAUAACCACAAUCAAUACUAAUAUUGUCUAAUAAUACCAAAUAUUUAAAU
rnacentral:lncRNA from 1 species